rnacentral:lncRNA from 1 species
CGUAACGGGAAUAGUUUUCAACGUCUGUUUCAUUCCCUGCUUCAGAGGACCUCUUUAAUCUUUGAUUUUGGUCCCUGUUUCUAAGAAAAGCAACUGAAAAGGUCGUAAUACCGCCCCUGAGAAAAAAGGAGCAGCGCUAAGUAAUCGAGAAAAUGCCUCCUCUUGAAACGGAUAUAGAGAUGGAAACAAGAUAUAAGAAGGAUUGAGAAUCAUAUAAUACAGGAGCUUAAACACCUAUGCGCGAUGAUAAAGAGGGUAAUAUUAGAGCGCUUGGAAAAUACCAGGAAGUUGAGAGAGUUAACAGAAGGGCGCACGCUGGAUUGGCCACAAAAUCGAAUUACUGAAGUAAGUGCAAAACGACAAAUUGUCACAGAAUACAGAGAAAAGGGGAAAAGAAAUUAAGAGGAGAAAAAGAGAGAUCUAGAGGGCCGGUCCAGGAGAUACAAUCUAUGCAUAAUAGGAAUACCUGAAACUGAGGACAGAGCAAGUGGAGCUGAAACAAUAAAGGAUCUACUUGAAAAAAUUUUCCAGAAUUGAAGAACGAACUAGAUCUACAAAUGGAAAAGGCUCACAGGAUACCUUUAAAGUUUAAUGAAAAGAAAGCAGCAUCUAGACAUACCCGGGUGACGUUUUUGAAUUUCAAAGACGAAACAUUUUACAAGCAUCCAGUCAGAGAAAGCAGGUUACUUACAAAGGGGCAAAAGUCAGGCCGACCUCAGAUUUUUCUCCUGCAAUUCUAAAUGCCAGAAGACAGUGGAACAAUAUCUAGAGUGUUAAGGGAAAAUAAUUCUGAGCCAAGAAUUAUGUACUCUGCCAAGUUAUCAUUUCUUUACAAAGGAAACUGGAAGACAUUCUUAGAUAUACAGGGGUUAGGAAAGUAUAUCAACCAAGAACUUUCCCUGAAAAUUUUGCUGAAGGAUUUACUGCAGCUAACAGAGAACCUGAAUUAAAAUAAGAACAGGGAGGCAAUUGUAUGAAAGAACUGAUGGGCCACUACUGAUUAGGACAUUUAUGGAGAACGUGGGUAGCACUGAAGCAGCAUUCUAGUUUCCAGUGCCAUCAACCUCAUACGUAUCUACCUGGUCUCUGAUCGAAGCUACCGUAACGUGUUCUUGAGGUCAACAUGUUUUGUGGAAGUCACUGUAUUUGCCCCUUUAUGUCAAUUACCUAUUAUAAACCGAGAGAAAUGGGA